GACGAACGCUGGCGGCGUGCUUAACACAUGCAAGUCGAACGGAAAGGCCCUGCUUUUGUGGGGUGCUCGAGUGGCGAACGGGUGAGUAACACGUGAGUAACCUGCCCUUGACUUUGGGAUAACUUCAGGAAACUGGGGCUAAUACCGGAUAGGAGCUCCUGCUGCAUGGUGGGGGUUGGAAAGUUUCGGCGGUUGGGGAUGGACUCGCGGCUUAUCAGCUUGUUGGUGGGGUAGUGGCUUACCAAGGCUUUGACGGGUAGCCGGCCUGAGAGGGUGACCGGCCACAUUGGGACUGAGGUGCGGGCCAGAGUCCUACGGGAGGCAGGAGUGGGAAACAUUGCACAAUGGGCGGAAGCCGGAUGCAGCAACGCCGCGUGCGGGAGGACGGCCGUCGGGUUGUAAACCGCUUUCGCCUGUGACGAAGCGUGAGUGACGGUAAUGGGUAAAGAAGCACCGGCUAACUACGUG
rnacentral:rRNA from 1 species